rnacentral:rRNA from 1 species
CCUACGGGAGGCAGCAGUGAGGAAUAUUGGUCAAUGGACGAGAGUCUGAACCAGCCCAGUAGCGUGAAGGAUGACUGCCCUCUGGGUUGUAAACUUCUUUUAUAUGGGAAUACGAUGUUCCACGUGUGGGAUUUUGUAUGUACACUAUGAAUAAGGAUCGGCUAACUCCGUGCCAGCCGCCGCGGGAAGAAGGAGGAUCCGAGCGUUAUACGGAUUUAUUGGGUUUAAAGGGAGCGUAGGUGGAGUGUUAAGUCAGUUGUGAAAGUUUGCGGCUCAACCGUAAAAUUGCAGUUGAAACUGGCAGUCUUGAGUACAGUAGAGGUGGGCGGAACUCGUGGUGUAGCGGUGAAAUGCUUAGAUAUCACGAAGAACUCCGAUUGCGAAGGCAGUUCACUGGACUGCAACUGACACUGAGGCUCGAAAGUGUGGGUAUCAAACAGGAUUAGAUACCCGAGUAGUC